rnacentral:rRNA from 1 species
AGCGAACGCUGGCGGCAGGCCUAACACAUGCAAGUCGAACGGACCCUUCGGGGUUAGUGGCGGACGGGUGAGUAACACGUGGGAACGUGCCUUUAGGUUCGGAAUAGCUCCUGGAAACGGGUGGUAAUGCCGAAUGUGCCCUUCGGGGGAAAGAUUUAUCGCCUUUAGAGCGGCCCGCGUCUGAUUAGCUAGUUGGUGAGGUAAUGGCUCACCAAGGCGACGAUCAGUAGCUGGUCUGAGAGGAUGACCAGCCACAUUGGGACUGAGACACGGCCCAAACUCCUACGGGAGGCAGCAGUGGGGAAUCUUGCGCAAUGGGCGAAAGCCUGACGCAGCCAUGCCGCGUGGAUGAUGAAGGUCUUAGGAUUGUAAAAUCCUUUCACCGGUGAAGAUAACGACUGUAGCCGGAGAAGAAGCCCCGGCUAACUUCGUGCCAGCCGCCGCCGUAAUAC